AGGACGAACGCUGGCGGCGUGCCUAAUACAUGCAAGUCGAACGGUCUUUCUAUGGAAGCUUGCUUCCACUGAGAAGAUAGUGGCGAACGGGUGAGUAACACGUGGGUAACCUGCCCAUAAGAGGGGGAUAACAUCCGGAGACGGGUGCUAAUACCGCAUAGUUUUCUUGAUCGCAUGAUCGGGAAAGGAAAGACGGCCUUUGUGCUGUCGCUUAUGGAUGGACCCGCGGCGUAUUAGUUAGUUGGUGAGGUAACGGCUCACCAAGACGAUGAUACGUAGCCGACCUGAGAGGGUGAUCGGCCACAUUGGGACUGAGACACGGCCCAAACUCCUACGGGAGGCAGCAGUAGGGAAUCUUCCGCAAUGGACGAAAGUCUGACGGAGCAACGCCGCGUGAGUGAAAGAAGGUUUUCGGAUCGUAAAACUCUGUUGUCAGAGAAGAACAAGUUGGAGAGUAACUGCUCCAGCCUUGACGGUAUCUGACCAGAAAGCCACGGCUAACUACGUGCCAGCCGCCGC
rnacentral:rRNA from 1 species